rnacentral:rRNA from 1 species
AUGAACGCUGGCGGCGUGCCUAACACAUGCAAGUCGAACGGAGUGUAGACGCUGUGCGAAGAAGUGCUUGCACGGAUUCAAACUGUUACACUUAGUGGCGGACGGGUGAGUAACGCGUGGAAAACCUGCCUCAUACAGGGGGAUAACAGGAAGAAAUUCCUGCUAAUACCGCAUGAGCGCACACUGUCGCAUGGCAGAGUGUGAAAAGAUUUAUCGGUAUGAGAUGGUUCCGCGUCUGAUUAGCCAGUUGGCGGGGUAACGGCCCACCAAAGCGACGAUCAGUAGCCGGCCUGAGAGGGCGGACGGCCACAUUGGGACUGAGACACGGCCCAGACUCCUACGGGAGGCAGCAGUGGGGGAUAUUGCACAAUGGAGGCAACUCUGAUGCCAGCGACGCCGCGUGGGUGAAGAAGUUAUUCGUAAUGUAAAGCCCUAUCAGCAGGGAAGAUAAUGACGGUACCUGACUAAGAAGCCCCGGCUAACUACGUGCCAGCAGCUGC